ensembl:lncRNA
AUAUAUAUAUAUAUAUAUAUAUAUAUAUAUAUAUAUAUAUAUAUAUAUAUAUAUAUAUAUAAGCUAAUAUGGCUUGUUGUUGCAGAUACAGGUACAAAGAGUAUGGUGGGAAAAGAGCAAAUAUUUUAGAAGCAGUCCAAACUUGUCACUGUCUUAUGAGAUUGAGGACGCACUACACUGAGGAACUCAUUUUUGAGGCAGCACAGUCAUCUUGGGCUACCUUGACAGUGUCCAUCCCCAGGUAAAUGAUAAAUCAUUCUAUGAAAAAUGACUUGAUGCUUCUGUGUUUUUCAGUUUCCCUCACUGCUGCCAUCACUCUUGUUAAUCUGAACAGAGCAGUAUUUGGGUCAAAGAAGCACCGUCAACAGAUAAUAACAGUUAACCUUUUGAUUACACCAGGGAUCGAAGGAAACAAUAUCAGGAAGCCAACAUAGAUGGAGGGAAAGAUAACUCUUUCUAGUUAUUCAAUGACAUGCCCAUAAACGGUCAUUUAAUUAAGCUUAAUGUGUUUGGGUUGGAUUUUGGUGUCACUGAGUACGUUUACAUGGACAACAAUAAUCUGUUAACACGAUUAAGACUAAACUCAUCUACCAUGUAAACAGAUAUUUUUGAUUACCUUAAUCCGGCUAAAGUCAUACUCGAAGUAAACACAAACUGAAUUAAGACAAGUGGCAUAUUCCUAUUUUAGUUCGCAUUAUUGAAGUGCAGUAUAGACAUGUACACACUUUAAUCUUGGUUUGUGUUCUACUGAAGAAACAAAGUCACCAACAUCUUGGAUGGCCUGGGGGUAAGCAGAUAAACAUCAAAAUUUCAUUUUUGGGUGAACUAUCCCUUUAAUCAUAAUAUUGCCUUAUUCAGAAUAAGCUAAUUAAUUAGAUCACUGCUGUUGAAAGAAAGAAAGAAAGAAAGAAAGAAAGAAAGAGAAAGAAAGAAAGAAAGUGAAUGAAUGAAUGAAUGAAUGAAUUGAUUCAUUAAUUCAUUAAUUUUUAACAAAUGUUGUGUCUUCACUGUAAUGGUGGUCAAAAUUUGGAUCUGUAUAGUUAUAACCCACUUCGGGAUAAAUAUUUCCCUCUUUUCCAUUUAAUUCUCUGCACUGCCAUCAAUUAGGACACUGCUGACUUCCUAUUAACUGACCUAGAGUUUCCAGUGCUUCCUGUCAAGUGUCAGCCAGCAUACACACACACACACACACACACACACACACACACACACACACACACACACACACACACACACAAAUACACACAAAAUGUACAUACUCUUUUCCUGUCAACUCUUUUCACUUUUUCAUUCACUGAACUAAUAACUUCCUUCCUGUGCCCAGGGUUUGACACGAGAUAUGAGAAGGCCGAGAGAGAGAAUAAACAGGAGACAGCAGAAGAGAGCGAGGCACAGAGAGAAAGCCUGGCUCAAAGAGAGGAAGUGGCACUAAGUGAAUGAUAAACAGAAAGAGCGAGACCAUGUGUGUAGUUUGCUCAUGCACAACUAAUAAAAGUCUUCCUCCCUCCGAUCGCUAUCAGUGCACACACAGAGCCAACUCCACAACAACACUGGCGUAUGUUCCUAAAUCCUUGCAACCAUGCAGUGACAUUAAAAGGAAAAUUAAGCCAAAACUAAAAUUCUGUCAUCAUUUACUCACCUUUAUGUCAUUCCAAAUUUGUACGUCUGUCUUUGAUUUGUGGGAAUGAAGAUAAGAAAUGUGUUUUUGUCCAUAUAAUGGAAGUGAGUGGCCACCAAAACCAACAUUCUUCAAAGUAUCUUGUUUUGUGUUCCACAGAAGAAAUUCAAAUUAUACAGGUUUGGAAUGAUAUUGAGGGUGAGUAAAUGAUGAAAAAAAUUUAAUUUUUAGAUGAACCAUCCCUUUAGGGACGAACUGACUAAAUAGCUCACUUUUGUGUGCAAUGUUUCAGCACAUAAACCCGCAUAUUAUGCACUAACCACCCACAUUUCAGUUGAACAGGAGCUAAAUGCAUUGAAAAAGCGCUGAGAUGUAAAAAAUUAAAUUAAGUCAUUGUAUUAAGUAUGAACACUUCUUUGUAUGUAAAUUAGACUCAUUAUACAUAGCAUCUUAUUCACAAAUCUCAGAACAAUUUGCUUGCUGUUGCACUAUUAGCGUCUGCUAAUAAUAGGGUGGAUUUUAUCAACAACAACAAAAAAAAGAUGUUUGUGUGUAUUUUCUAUUGAUCAUGAUGACAAUAAGUUAUCAAAUGAUGAUAGAGAACUGCAAUAAUCUGAUCUGCAAUAAAUAAGAGUUUGGGUUUCAUUUGGAAUCUGUGACUGGAUUGGACUAAUUCGGAUUGACUGCUUGUGUUCCUUCAAGCCUAAAAUGAGACAUUUGAAGUCAUUUGAUUUCCCUUCUCUAUGAGGUCCUCAUGUAAUAUAUUUAAAAAUGGACUGUAACGAGCACAUGAUUGCAGGAGAUUUCCAUUCCUCCCUCCCCCUCUCCUCACAUUGGAUAUCCGGAGGAAACUGCUGG